rnacentral:rRNA from 6 species
AAAGGAGACUGCCAGUGAUAAACUGGAGGAAGGUGGGGAUGACGUCAAGUCAUCAUGGCCCUUACGACCAGGGCUACACACGUGCUACAAUGGCGCAUACAAAGAGAAGCGACCUCGCGAGAGCAAGCGGACCUCAUAAAGUGCGUCGUAGUCCGGAUUGGAGUCUGCAACUCGACUCCAUGAAGUCGGAAUCGCUAGUAAUCGUGGAUCAGAAUGCCACGGUGAAUACGUUCCCGGGCCUUGUACACACCGCCCGUCACACCAUGGGAGUGGGUUGCAAAAGAAGUAGGUAGCUUAACCUUCGGGAGGGCGCUUACCACUUUGUGAUUCAUGACUGGGGUGAAGUCGUAACAAGGUAACCGUAGGGGAACCUGCGGUUGGA